rnacentral:rRNA from 1 species
UACAGAGGUCCCAAGCGUUGUUCGGAUUCACUGGGCGUAAAGGGUGCGUAGGUGGUGAGGUAAGUCGGAUGUGAAAUCUCCGAGCUCAACUCGGAAAUGGCAUUGGAAACUACCUUGCUCGAGGGUUGGAGGGGGGACUGGAAUGCUUGGUGUAGCAGUGAAAUGCGUAGAUAUCGGAAGGAACACCUGUGGCGAAAGCGGCUCACUGGACCAUUACUGACGCUGAGGCACGAAAGCUAGGGGAGCAAACAGG